AAACACCCAACCGCGCAGCCCACGCUGCGGGGCCACGACUUGGCCGGAUUUAUGUUCAUGGCUGAGGAUGCCAUGGGCCGAGUAAGAAGGAGAACCGCCACCCAACCACGCAGCCAAGAGCAACCCAGGGAUCCCUCCUCUGCUUGCUCCCCUCCCCCACCCCUGCUGUACCUUCUGCGCAGCCAUCUCGGUAACGGGCGUCAGGGGCGCUCGGCGGCCUGCUGUCCAAGCUGGGGUCAGGAGCCUGGCGGUAGCAAAGAGCAUCACCGAAAGGAAGCUGGUAGGCUAGCGAGGCCAGCCCCAAAGACCCACAGAUACACGCGCUGCUCCGAACUCGCGGGCCCGCGGCGUCCACUAAUGAGAUGAACCUGGGCGCGCAGCGGCUGGACCUCAGCUGCUAGGGCGCCGCCAAGGCCCUGCUGGACACCUUCUGGUACCUGGGCCUCGUGUAUUACACCUGUGGCUGCCGCCGAGGCGCGGUUCAAUUUGAAGUCUGAGCCCCUACAGGCCCGUGAAUCCUGGAUUACAACUGCAGUUUGUGCAAGAAGCAGCAGCACCUGCACUUCCACUUAGCAACCUCCGGCUUCACGCUCCUCCAGGGCGCAGAGAGCAUCAAAGCAUUAUCACCGACCCAACACACACCGGCGCUGCGUAGUUUCUGCAGCAGGUGUGGGGUGAAGAGUUGCCACACAGCUGUCUGACACCGGGUGUACGGCGUCACCCCUCACUUCCUGGACAAGGCAACAUUUUCCUAAAGGUUACAUUUCUGGUUCCAGC
rnacentral:lncRNA from 1 species